ensembl:lncRNA
UAUAAAAUCCACCUUUGGAGGAAAACGCAAACAGGUUCCAUGUAAAAAGCAAGACCCCCUCCUCCUCCUCCUCCUCCGUCAGUCCAGGGUCUCUCGCGGCUCGUCCUCCAUCCUCCGUUCGGCCGGACACACACACACACACGCGCGCGCUGAACCGCACUGAGGUCCGCCUCUGUCGCUCUGAUCCCGCUUCCACUCACUGGCGUGCUUUUCUGCGCUUUAAACUCCGAAUGCUUUUAAGGAAAGACGGAGCGAAAACCUGGAGUGGAGUGCGGCGACAACUGGAUCCGGAACAACCGCUUUGCAUUCAUGAGACAGACAGAUGUUUUUCAAAGUCAGUUUAUGAUUGUGGGUGAGUGAAACAUUAGUGAUGUGUUUCCACACUUCAGUCCAUGCAGGUUAGUGUGUGUGUGUGUGUGUGUGUGUCUGAGAGAGAGAGAUUCCUGUGAGGACGCGUCACUGAGAGUGUCUCAUUCACAUUUGCUGAGUGAGGAAUUUCACUAAAGCCUGAUAAGAACUGAAGAGCUCAUGUCCCUUCACACUGGAGUCUCACACACAACUGCCAUCGCUGCAAAGCAAAAACACACACUCACACGCUGAAUGAACGAAGGGCAGUGCAGAGCCUCAGCGUACUAGCUGAAAAUCUAUGAAAUCAGAGUGAUGUAUUUUAUCAGUAUAUUUGUAUUAUUACAUCCUUCACUGUAAGCAGUGCUCAGUGAAUCACUGUCCGUUUCUUCAGAUGCUGCAGAUCCCUCUAGUGGCAGAUCCAUCACUCAGUUAUGGUCACAACUUCACAUUCAGAUAGAGAAGAUGCUUUUAUGUUUGAUCAGGAUGGAUCAGCGGUUCUCAAUCAGGGGCCGGGGACAACAUGCUUCCAAAAUUACUUAAAAUAAGUUUUAAUAAAAUAAUCUAACUGAAUUAAAACACAGUGCAAAGGCUUGCACAGUUAAUUCUACAUGCUUCCACUCGGUUUAAUCUAGGUCCAGGUACUGCCAGUUCAAAGAACUGAUAAUAAAAAAAACCUUAACUUAUCAAAUAAAUAAAUGUUAAUAAAAUAUGUUUAUAAACGAACAUAACUCUAGAAUACUAACUAAUAAUAAAACAUACAUUUAUUAUUAAAAUAAAAUAAAAUAUUAAUACAAUAUAAGACUAACAAAAAUUAUAGAACUGUAAAUUAGCAAUGAACAACAAUAUAUUUAUAAAUGAACAUUAUUCUAAAUUAAUAAUACAAAUGUUAUUAAAAUAAAAAUAUUUAAUACACACACAAUAUAAACAAAAAUUUAAGUGUAAUGUAAUUAUAAAAAUUUAUAAACCUAUUACCUUUAAUCCAUAUAAAACAUUAUAUUUGAUCA